AAACUGCAUUUACUCCAGUAGGACAGGUACCAGUAACAUAAUGAUUUCAGUACUUAAUACUGCUCUGUGAUUUGCAUAUAAUCUACAUGUACAUUCCCUGUGUGCUUGUGGGGAUAUAAAUAUGAGUGAGUGCAGGCAGGGGCUCAGUGAUCUGUAUCAGGCCUGUGUGCAGUGAUCAGUAUGGUGUCCCACAGCUGCUUGCUGCCUAUACUCAUGCUCUGGCUUCAGGGUUCCUAUGGGCAGACUUGGGUGUCCCAGUCUCCAGAUUAUGUCUCUGUGUCACCAGGAGAAACUGUCACCAUCACAUGUAAAGCCGGAAGCACACUUUCUGGAACACAUGGCAACUAUUUAGCCUGGUACCAACAGAAAUCAGGGCAGGUACCAAAGCUGCUGAUCUAUUUGGCAAGCAAGAGACACACAGGGACCCCAGAGCGGAUCAACGGCAGUCUAACUGGAACUGAUUUCACUCUUACAAUCAGCAGAAUGGAAGCAGAAGAUGCAGCAGAUUAUUACUGUCAUCAGUAUGGUUGGAACCCUCUCACACAGUGAUACAGAGCUGAACAAAAACCUUCCUCUUUUAAAACAUAGAGUAGCACCUUCUCUGUGCAAGAGCCCCAUAGCUUCUCAAAAUAGAAAAAAUGGAAAUAAGUAAACCACAGAUAUAUAAAUAAAUAAAUACAUAAAAUAGAAAAAGGAAGAAGCAGCUGCAGAAUAAAAAGUAGAAUAAAAAUGUAAAUAUUAAGAUUUGUACAGAGGGAGACUCUCUAUGCAAAUCUUUCUGUUAGACACUAGUUCUCUAUUAGGAUUCCUGCAUCAAUGUUUAUUUUAUACAAACAAUCCUAUAAUUGUAUCCAACAACACAGUAUAACCAAUACAGUCCAUUAAUUCCCUCCCAGCAGCCUCUCUGAUCACUGAGCUCUCCCAUUUGAUAUAAUAUCAGGAGGAGCAGCCCAUUGCCAUGAAUAGGAGAAUCGUUUAUAAUCAAAGGUUGAUUUACUAUGAAAUUUUGAGCUGCACAAAGCAGCCAUGCAGAUACUUGAUUUCACAUUCUGGUGAUGCUGGGCAAAUCAAAUUAGCACAUAUUUCAAUAGAUGAGCCAAUUAUGCCAGUGUAUUUGCCCAUAUCAACCAAUCAGAUAUUUCCUUUUGAUUUUAGUACACUAUUAAAAAUUAUAUAGUAUUGCAGAAUCUGCUCACAUUUAUGGGUGGUGCUCUAUCUGGGAACCUUGCUGCAAUCCUUGGUAUCUGUAAUCCAUAUACUCAUAGAAAAUCAGAUUGCACACACAGAAGCAUUCGUGCUAAAUGGUUGAAGUUUUAUUGAGAUCCCCACAACGUUUCGGAG